AGAGGCUCUAACAACCGUGAACAACCAUCUCCGCAGAUGUAUGGUGGACAGGAUCCCUUCUCUUUCCAUGGAACAGUUAUCACUUGCAGUGUUUGCCACCCCACUCCUUCCAACGGCCGUAUUGUACACCACUGGCCAGAAGCCUGGGACUGUGUCUAUUGUGGAAUGGCUUCAUUUGCCUCAUACUCCCCCGCGUAAUGUAUAUGCUACACCCAAUAGCGUCAUGGAUCUUGUUGCCAGGGGCAGACAUCGAGCCCUGGCUCUCUCCGGACUGGACUUAUUAUCAGUCUAUCUGCCCUUCUCCCAGGAAGAAUUUAUGCAUUUGAUGAUGACCGCCGUUUGUACUCAAAUAACUUUUGCUGAUUUUGGGGGGGAAAUUGUUCACAAUCCUCCCGGAGACACUCGUCUAUCUUUCCUUACAGAGCUGAGAUAUGUCCUCCGAACUGCUUUAUCCCCCUUGCCCCUGCCCUCCGCCCUCACGGUUUUUACUGAUGGCACUAAGUCCAGGGGGGGUGUGGGAAGAGGAGGGGGGAAUGGAGAAGUUUGUAUACUACUGAGCAGUCCUCAGCACAACGUGCUGAAUUGGCAGCUGUAAUUUUAGCAUUCCAACAGUUUGCUGAUAUCCCUUUCAAUCUCAUUGUGGAUACUCAGUAUGUAUAUAAUCUGUUGAAUGUGUUGCCGUUGUCGUAUAUUACUCCUGCUAUUGAUGAUAAUUUGUUUACAUUGUUCUCCACUUUGCAGAGCUUGGUACAAGCCAGAAUUUGUCCGUUUUAUGUAGCACAUCUUAGAUCACAUGCUGGUCACCCUGGCUAUUUGGCAGAAGGACAAGCAAUCGUCGAGCGUGCCCACUUGACUUUUAAGACCCUUCUCAACAAGCAAUUGGGAGGCCGCUCGGCUACUGUUUUUGAAAUACCUAAUAUUGUACAUCAAGUGUUGCUUACCUUAAAUCAUCUGUUGUACCCUCACAAUAGGAAUUUUACGCCUGCUGAACUUCAUUUCAGGAAGGAAGAAGUAUUGCAGCGCCCUUUAGUGUCUUACAGGUUGCUUCCAGAUCCACAGUGGAAGGGUCCAACUUCCUUGAUUUCCUGGGGUCGCGGAUUCGCUGCCAUUGACGUGGACGGAGAAACACGAUGGGUUCCAGCCCGGUGCGUUCGACCUUGGCGCUCUUCUGUUGCCUCGUCUUCGCCCAAGGAGACACCAGCGCCUUGAAACCGUAUUUUACGCUGUCUGCCAGUGAUGACCUCCCACCUGACCUCAACCCGCAUUGCAGUUGGAGACAUCACCAUAUUGAUGCGCCCUGGAUAGAGUCACCUUCCACAGCUGUUCCAGUGUUUCCCGGCACGUUGAAAGGCCAUCUUCGUCCCUACCGCAUUGGCCCCCCUUCCCCCUGGGAAGCCACUGUGACUACCAAUUACCAUUAUAGUUUUGCCGCCUCUUGUUUGGGAAAUGAGCCUGGCUCAUUUGAAGGAUGCCCUCGCCGGACUGGCAUUGCUUGGGUUUUGCCCCCCAAUAGCGGCCAUCCCAUCUGUGCCAUCACGUUCCGUUGGGUUUGGACUUUUGGCUCAGCAGUAUGAGGAGCAGUAAAUGAGGCCUAUUUACAGCAAAUGGGCUCCUGUGUCUGCAGAAAUGGUUGUGUGGCUUCUUCUGGAUUGUGGUUUUUACAUGCCAAUAAUCGAGCCACGAAAUAUCACGCAGGUUGCUCGGAAGCGGCCAUUG